rnacentral:misc_RNA from 1 species
UAUCUUGGCACAAAUUUUAAAGGAUUAGGGAUUACAUUGUAAUGCAUUUUUAGAAGUGAAUACAUGUGUCUGAUUCUGAUUUCAGUCACAUAUGCAAAUUGUUAAGCUGCACACAUUUAGAGUAGACAAAAUGUUUCCAAUUCUUUUAUUUUUCUUCCAUUUUGGCUUAUGGAGUGAAGGAGGUCGCUCAUCAUUUCUCUUAAUUAACCAAAAAUGAUCUCGUGUUCCUUUUUAUGGAUGUACUCUGUA